AUGUGUGUGUGUGUGUGUGUGUGUGUGUGUGUGUGUCUACAUGUAUCCUAUAGUAAGCAAGCCCUCAAAAUUUUAGAAAGACUAUGAAAACUAUACCCUUUAACAGAAAGGUGUUUUUUAAAAAGCCCUAUAAAGUUUUCUCUUAAGCAAAUACAAGUUCUGAGUUACCCAGAUACUUGACUUUUACCACUUGAAUGAAGCCUGCAUAGUGGGAUGAAUUUCAGUGUCCCCAUCCUAGCUCAGAGGCUGAAGCAUGCGAUUCAAGAUACUCAGAUACACUUUUCUCUUUAUCUUAAAAAACAUUGCCCAAGUGACUUUUAGGAUAGAUCCAACUUUGUCAUUUUCUUUCUGGAGUUUUCUAUUGCCUCAUGUUUCACUAAGCCUACCUUUACAGUUGACAUAGUUAAGUCAUUAAUAAUGGCUAAGUGACUGCCAGAAUUAGCCCCUGAGUCAUGGGCUAUGUAAGGUUUAGCUCUCCUGAAGGUUUGUAUUUUCAGUCCAGUCCUGGCACACAGUGCCUUGCCUUAACCUAGUUGGAAAGUGCACAGUUCACACCCCAUAAAACAGAACACUAUCUACCACUGAAGACAAACAAAAAUACCAGGACUAGAAAAGUCUAUGUGGCAUUGAAAUCAACCUGGAUCUGAGAGGAACGCUUUAUUGUAGGAACUUCUUUCACCUCUUACAUUUAGAAAGAUAUGAGAAUUUACUGUUCCAUGAAAUUGCAAAAUAACUCUUAUCAAGGACCUAGAGAAACACGUAUCUAGUUUCUUCCAUGGACAGAUAUGUGUUUACUAGGUAAAUUUAUCUUCUUAAUGCUAUUUGCUUAUGAACUGUACCUUAAAUUUAAAAAAAAAAUCCAAACUGGAUGAACUAAUAGGAUUUUUUUUCUUUUGGGGCAGUGGCAACUAAACCUAGAGAUGUUUUCAUGUUAGGCAAAAUCUCUCUACCACUGAACUGUAUCCCCCCAUGAGUGGCUUUUUAAAGUUUACAUGUACUUUUACAAAAUUUCAGCCUUCUUCAAUGUAUACAUUUCUCACCUGUUGAUUGUUUUCCUUCCCUUCAGAGCAUGUGGAGACACUCCUGUGAUAGUGUUAAUGAUGAGCACAGAGACAUCUUUUAAAGAGUUCACAUGCGUUCAUAUUCUUCCUUAGGAAAUGCAUUUCAUACCAAUAAUUUCUCUUAGAUAAUCUAGGGAACAUUUCUGGCAUUUUAUUUUAUUAUACAUAUCCAACAAAUAGUUUCCUUACUUCGUUAGUCCACCUUCCAUUCCCCAAAGAAAUUGGUCUCAGGUCCUAGAGACAGAUCAUCUACUUACUUACCUUCAUCAAAUGUCUGUAGGACUCAAAAUGUUAACAGGGAAGUUUGCUUCAUAGCAACCCACAGGCUAUGAAUCAAGUUACUACAAGCAACACGACUUUAGUGCUUCAGUAUUUCUAGAGGCUGUGAUGGAUUAGUCAAUUUCAAAGCGCAAGACCAAGAGCAAAUGAAGUCCAUAUUCAAAUGCGGGGCACAGACUAUCUUUGCACUCAUUGCCUUUUCUGACAUGUUGACAAAUGCAUAUUCACAGACUAUCAGAAACUAGAUAGAGUUACCUAACCAGCGUACUGCCAAAGUUUGAAACAACUGUGAGAGCCAUUGAAACAUAUUUUUCUGGAUGGUGAAGCUUAAGAACCAGAUUGAUGACAGCACCAGAAGUCAUGUGAUACUCAGGACCCCAAGUGGGAGGUAUAGUGCACGAAAGUCUGCCUUUAGUUAGCAAUCUGGACGUGGCUCCCUUUAUUCUUCUUUCCUUAAGGGGGGUCACUUGUCUAAAAUGGAAGCUCUCUUGGGUCCACUCUCCUGGAAGUCCACAGGGUCAAAGCUAUGAGCUAGCAUGGUGUCCUCCACGUGUGAAUACAGAGAUGCUUAUAGUCUCUGAGAAGCUGGUUCUGUGUAGCCAUUUCUGCUGGAGGCCAACAAACCUGUAGUGUGGAUCUCUCCUCCUUAUUCAUUCAUGGAAGCUUGACCCAGGGCCCUCCAGACUUUUGCAUCAAAAUAGAGUGUGGCCAGUGUUUCCUUGAUUGUUCUUUUUCUAUUCUUCACCUUUUCUUCUAGCCUUAUAUUAAAGAGGAUGAUCAAGAAAGUCUCAUGUUUCUGUUUCCAACCCUUGAGUGCCGGGAUUCCUCAAUUACAUGUACCACCAUGUCUGGUUUUAUGCUAUGCUGGGGAUUAAAGAGAGCCUCAUGCAUGCCAGGCAAGAUUCCACCAAUGUUGCUCUAUCUCCAGUCCUCUUUUUGCCUAUUUAAGUUCUUUUUAAACAUUAUACUGUUAGGAACACUAAUUGACACCCAGAGACACAUGGCUGUGCCUUGCUAGUAAACACUACUAAUGGAAUGCUGCAUUGCUGCUCAAAAGGCUCUGCCUGAAACACACAUAACUCAAACUCAUUAGGAGGUUAUUCUUGAUUGUUACCAGGCUUCAUUUCUAAACUGUGAACAUCUGAAUUGUUCAAGCUAACUCAGCUUGAAAUGUAAGAGGAUGCAAUGUAGACCAUCUCCUAGCCUGAUCUACCUACAAAGGCUAUUCAUUUACCUGAGAGUUCUCCACAUAACAGCCGGCUCAGUAUUUAUGGCCAGAGUGACAGGGAAGAUCAUCCUAUGAAAGAAGGUAACUUUUUUUUCAUCCAAAAAUAGGUCGUAUAAUGACUGUGUAAAGGGCAGCUUUCUGAGAGUGUCACUUUGCAUGGCAAAAAAAAAAAUCUCAAGGUCAUUCACUAGUAGCAGGCAUAUGCCUCUUCAUUAGAGACCAAAAAACCUUAACUUAAGGAAGAUAUCAUCCUUGUUCAUUCUCUUAUUCUAAUGUGCAUUUCUAAAGUGAAUAUUGUCUUUGACGUUACUGCUGCUCCAUAGUACCUCAUACUCCCAUCUCGUCAUUCCACUUGACUCCAGCAAGUAGUGAGACCUUAGUAUGUAAGACACAACCUUAUAUUUUCUGUUAUACCCUAGUUGCUUUAACUAAAAGUUUGGUAAACUACAGAGAAAUAAAUUAAAGUUUACAUCCUAUUAUAAAUGUUACCCAAAUUAAGAAUUAAUGUAUAUUGAAGGAAACACUAAAAUGUCAUAAGAUUUCUCAUUGUACAACAAAAAUGAAUUGCUCCAUUCAUCUUUUUCCCUUAAUAAAACUCAUGUGAUUUCAUAGCUUCUGACUUCUCAGAGAAACUGAAACCUAGUGGAGACAAAUAAAGUUGUCUCUUCUUUGACUCAGUGGGUUAAAUUGUUUCUUUCAGUGUCACAUGUAAAUUCCAGCUGUCUGGUAAGUUACCUUCCUUUUUCCUUUGAAAACACUAGGUCAUCCCCACAUCACUGCAUGGCUUCAGGGACUUUACUUGACCUGAUUGGGAUGGCCAUGAAAUGAAAAACAGACAGAGAUGGAUACAGGAAUAGAAAAGCUGGGGUUGCUGGAUGGGGAAUCUGAUGGAGAAAUCACAGCACCUAAAGUAAGCUCUGUGUGCUUAUUAUAUAGCACUGAAUAGGUAGGUGACAUGAUUACAUAUGGAAAGAGAAGGCCAGGUCCCUCUAUAUAGCUGGAUCGAGGAGGCAGGUCUAACUAAUUACGGUAAGAGGAGUCCCCGAGGGAACUCUUCGGGCCAUGAGCAUCCAGAGAGAAAACAUUGUAGAUGUUUUUUGCACACAGGUCAACAUUUAUACCUGGAUGGGAAGGAUUUCUCCCCUUUCCCAUGAGUCUGAUGCUCGGGUCCUUGCUAUAGCCACUUCAAGGGGGAAAAGCACAGAUUCACUCAGAAUUUCAAAUACUUAGAGCUUCCUCUAUUUCACACAUUUCACAUUUCCAUGCUUAUAAUUCCAGGAUUUGGAAAACCAGUGCAGUAGGAUUUCAAUGAUUUCCAGGGCACCUUCAGGAGCCUAGAAACCACUCUAGCCUUUGGAGUCACAGCUUCGCGGCAGUUUCAGCGUCUGCUACUUAUUAAGUGUUGAUGGACCAUCUGGGGCUUUCAGAGUCUUAUGUGACAUCUUCUUCAACUUACCUUGGAAUCUUAGACUUCACUGAGAUCUAUGCAUAAGUCAUUAUGGAAUGGAAAGGAAAAUGGCCACGUUUGAUUACUUUUGGUUUAGAAUCAGGAAAGCUGAAGUUAUACAGGAAGGCCAACUGAGAUCAAAAAGAAACUGUCUCUACCUGGUGCGCCCACAUAGCAAUUCUGUCCAGCCCAAGAGUCUGGGACAUGCCAGAACAUUUUCUUCUUUAUAGUCUGUGGGAGGCACUGACAAGAACAGUUGAUACAGAUUGCAAGCACAGCGACAUAGUAGUGUCGUAAUGCAUCAUCACAUGCUAUCUUUGGUAUAUUCUAGAAUUUUAUCACGAGGCAUUGAUCCCACACCUGAGAUUUGCCUCCAUUUGAGACUCAGAAUUUUGCAGCUGUUUUCUCAAUGCAGGAAGAGGUCAUUAUUAGAAUGAAGUGAAGAAAGGAAGGCAUGAAGGGGAAAUGGGACUGUUUACGGAGCACAUCUACACAAAGGAGACAGGGGGAAGUGCUGUGCUCUUCAGUGUCUUUGUAGCAUAAAUCACUGAGGCAGAGGAAUUUUUGACAGCUUUCCCUAAGUGCUCGCUUCAAGGGUGAGACCAAAUCUUCCACAGAGGCCAAGGAUGAGAGUGAAAAAGAAGGGAUCCCAGAUGACUUCUAACACUCUUAAAGCAACUCGAAGACUCCAAGAAUUAAGGCACUGAAGACCGGGAAGCCACUGUUAGUGACAUCAUUUUGCAAGGAGUAGGAGGCGCUUCUUACUGGAGAAGGCACGUCACCAGGGUAUUCUUUGAAGUUUCAAAAGCCCAUACCAGGCCCAGUCUAUCUCUGCCUCCUGUCUGCUGAUCAGGAUGAGGCUCUCCUGCCUCCAUGCCGCUGUGCUUCCCAGCGUGAUGAGCAAAGAAAAACCUUCUGAGAUUGUAAGCAAGCCACCAAUUAAAUGUUUUCUUUUAUGAGUACCUUGGCCAUGGUGUCUUUUCACAGCAACAGAACAGUAACCAACACACAAUCCAAAGGGAUCCUUCAGAUGUUAACAUAAAUAAUAUAGGACAGAGACAAAAGGCCAUCCGGAAAUGUUUACCUCCAAGACUUUCUCUACCAGGCUCAACUGAAAUCGUUCAUUCAGAGUGGGUCAAGGUUUUAUUCAAAUACUUAUUGUCCAUUGUAUUGAGUUUUUAACCCAAACACUUAUAUAUAUGUAUGUGUGUGUGUGUGUGUGUGUGUGUGUGUGUGUGUGUGUGUGUGUGUGUGUAUACCUCUUACAUGAUUUAAGAGGCCAACAUAAAUUUCCUGGUGGAAAAUAAAUUGCUCAUUUCUAAGAUUUGUUAAUGUAAUUUGUGACUGUAUUCCUUCCAUAGGUUCACAUGAUUUUCUGGCCUCUUGGAAGCAUGAUUCUCCCCCCAAAAUGAGUUACUUGGUUAUAUGAAUGCUGUAUAAAAAUAAAUGCAAAAAAGUGGGCUUAAGAAGUUGGAUAGCAUACAGGCCCAUCUUUACCUUGCGGGUAAUAAGCUGAGAAUGAAAGUGAUCCCAGGAUCCUUUGAGAAUAAAAACCAUCAUUGAGAAACUUCUAUUUGUCACUGUAGUAGGUUGUCCAAACCUUAUCAGUUGUUCAUCUACCCAGAGUUCAAUGCUGAGGCUUUUCCAUGUGUGAUGGUUUGCAUAUGCUUGGCCAAGGGAGUGGCACUAUUAGAAGGUGUGGCCUUUUGGAUGA
rnacentral:sRNA from 1 species